ensembl:lncRNA
UAGGCCUGUUGAUUUUAAUAAAUAUAAUUGGAAUUUUAAAAAGCUAAUUUGUUAUAGUAUUAUCCUAUUCGUAACUCCAAGAAUUGAGGGUACUUAAACGUUGAAGGGUUUUUGUUGGGUUUAAACGAGACAGACCCGGCAGAUCCUCACUUCACCAUUCGGUGUUAAUACCAAAGGAUGUUAUUCUGCUGUGUCUCUACAUCAAAGAACGAGCCCUGAUCUGUCCCACCGCGAAUCACACGUCGUUGACGCACGUUCCUCGUUGAAUUUUCGUAACGGAAAAAUACAACUUUUUCUAUUCGAUUUUAGGUUUCUUCUCAGUCCAGUACCCUACCUUUGUUUUCCGCACUCCGAAAUGUCUACAGGGGGUGCUCGUGCUUAACCUUUUACUUUGGUUGACAAAAAGGUGUCUACUUUUUUAUUGUAAAGCGCUCUGUGAAUACAGGAAUUUUGGGAAGCAGAAUAACACAUUACUUUACGUUGAGGACAUCCUAACGGAGCGAAGGGAGAUCCGGGCACGCGCCUGCCGCCGUCCGUGACGCUGAUUGUAAACCGACGACCGUCAGUCUGUCCUGUUCCUGCUCUGAAGCUUAAGGAAUGAACGAGGACAUGAAGGACACUUAUUCAAUCGAUUUCCCCCUUUUUAAGGUAGCCUAACUAAUCGGUGGCAUGACACGUGACGUCGGUCUUAUAGAUAUAUUAGGCCAUGCACUUUUAAGGGCCAGAAAGCUGAAGAUGGUCGGUUCCAACAGUCUCCGAAACCAGACCAAAGAAGUCGCGAGAGACUACGGUCAAAUCGACGAGGACGUUUUUGGGAUGGUGCCCUGGAAACGUGAUGAGAUGAACAACUAUAAACUGGGAAAACUUACAGGAAUGGAUACCUUGGUUCUGGAUUGUGGACUCUCCUCUUCAGCUCACCCAACACAUUUCUAAUGGGAUUUAGGUCAGGGGACAGUGAUGGCCCUUCCAUAAACUUGAUACUAAGUUGACUGAUGUCUCCAGGCAACGGGUCUGACUGGUUAGAUGUCUCCAGGCAACGGGUCUGACUGGUAAGAUGUCUCCAGGCAACGGGUCUGACUGGUAAGAUGUCUCCAGGCAACGGGUCUGACUGGUAAGAUGUUUCCAGGCAAUGGGUCUGACUGGUAAGAUGUCUCCAAGCAACGGGUCUGACUGGUAAGAUGUCUCCAGGCAACGGGUCUGACUGGUAAGAUGUCUCCAAGCAACGGGUCUGACUGGUAAGAUGUCUCCAGGCAACGGGUCUGACUGGUAAGAUGUCUCCAGGCAACGGGUCUGACUGGUAAGAUGUCUCCAGGCAACGGGUCUAACUGGUAAGAUGUCACCGGGCAACGGGUCUGACUGGUAAGAUGUCUCCAGGCAACGGGUCUGACUGGUAAGAUGUCACUGGGCAACUGGUCGAUGAGCAUCAGAUUGCCUUUCAGGAGGAGUGGGAGGGGAGAGCAGGAUGGGGAGAAGAGGAUGAGGGAGGAGACAGGAG